UACGUAGGGGGCGAGCGUUGUCCGGAAUCAUUGGGCGUAAAGAGCGUGUAGGCGGCCAGGUAGGUCUGCUGUGAAAACUCGAGGCUCAACCUCGAGACGUCGGCGGAAACCGUAUGGCUAGAGUCCGGAAGAGGAGAGUGGAAUUCCUGGUGUAGCGGUGAAAUGCGCAGAUAUCAGGAAGAACACCCGUGGCGAAGGCGGCUCUCUGGGACGGUAUUGACGCUGAGACGCGAAAGCGUGGGGAGCGAACAGG
rnacentral:rRNA from 1 species